UAGGUCUCCAGUAUACUACAUCGCUGUAUUAGCUGAGGUUGGGUCGGGUUAUUAAGGGAGCUAGAGAGGGGGAUUUAGAGACGUGUUCACUACAGAGGCAUCACCAUGGCACCACUCGGACUAAAAGCCAUUGUGGGAGAAAAGAUUAUGAAUGACGUCAUCAAGAAGGUACACAAGAAGGGAGAAUGGAAGGUGCUGGUCGUAGACAAGCUGAGCAUGAGGAUGAUGUCAUCCUGCUGUAAGAUGACAGAUAUCAUGUCAGAGGGCAUCACCAUUGUUGAAGACAUCGGAAAGAAACGGGAGCCUCUCCCUAGCAUGGAGGCCAUCUACUUAAUAACUCCCAGUGAUGAGACUGUGGAGGCACUCAUAGAUGACUUCAGAGACCCUCGGUCGCCCAGAUACAGAGGAGCUCACGUCUUCUUCACUGACACAAUCCCAGAUUCAUUGUUUAACUUGUUGACGAAAUCCCGCGCGUCCAAAGCCAUGAAGACCUUGACUGAGAUCCACAUCGCCUUUCUGCCCUAUGAGUCUCAGGUGUUUUCCCUGGACAAGACAGAUGCCUUCCAGGACUUCUACAGCCCCUACAAGGCUGACAUUAAGCACAACAUGUUAGAGCGCUGUGCUGAGCAGAUCGCCACUCUCUGCAAUACCCUGAAGGAAUACCCUGGCGUCAGAUACAGAGGGGAGUAUAAAGACUGUACCACUCUGGCUCAGCUCCUGCAGGACAAGCUGGAUGGCUACAAGGCAGACAACCCCACCAUGGGAGAGGGUCCGGACAAGUCUCGCUCCCAGCUCUUGAUUCUGGACCGAGGCUUUGACCCGGUCUCUCCCAUCCUCCAUGAACUCACCCUCCAAGCCAUGGGCUAUGACCUGCUGGGCAUCGAGAACGACGUCUACAAGUAUGACACCAGCGGGAUGGGGGAGGUCAAGGAGAAGGCGGUGUUGCUGGAUGAGGACGAUGAUCUGUGGAUGAGUCUCAGACACAAGCACAUUGCAGAAGUCACCACGGCUGUGACCCGUUCUCUGAAAGAAUUCUCAUCCACCAAAAAGAUGAACACAGGAGAGAAGACCACAAUGAAAGACUUGGCUCAGAUGCUGAAGAAGAUGCCCCAGUAUCAGAAAGAGCUGAGCAAGUACUCCACCCACCUCCACCUGGCUGAGGACUGUAUGAACCGCUAUCAGGGCACUGUGGACAAGCUGUGUCGUGUGGAGCAGGACCUAGCGAUGGGUACGGACGCAGAGGGGGAGAAGAUCAAGGACCCCAUGAGGGCCAUCGUGCCCGUCCUGCUGGACAAAGACGUCACUGUCUUCGACAAGAUUCGCAUCAUCCUCCUCUAUAUCUUCAUGAAGAACGGUGUUUCGGAGGAGAACCUGUGUAAGCUCCUCCAGCAUGCUAACAUCCCUCCUGAGGACAGUGACAUCAUCUCCAACAUGGCCCAUAUGGGCAUGCCCAUCAUCUCAGAGGGGAAUCCGACCCGCAAGGUGAAGAAGACUGACCGGAAGGAGAGAGUGAGUGAGCAGACCUACCAGCUGUCCCGAUGGACCCCUCUUAUCAAGGACAUCAUGGAGGAUGCCAUUGAGGACAAACUAGAUCCAAAGCAGUACCCCUACAUCUCCCAACGAACUGCCUCCACCCACUCCAGCGCGCCAUCAAGUGCCCGGUACGGAAACUGGCACAAGAACAAGGGCCCCACAGAGAUUAAGACUGGUCCUCGGGUCAUCGUCUUCAUCAUCGGAGGCAUGACCUUUAGCGAGAUGCGCUGCGUCUACGAAGUCACACAGGCCAAUGGCAAAUGGGAGGCCAUCAUUGGCUCCACCCACAUGCUCACUCCCACCAAAUACCUGAAGGAGCUGCAGCACCCUGAUUUCCUGGACCCCAACGCUGCCCCUGAGGAACCAGAGCCUGCCCCCGCAGAAUGAGAACACACACUGAAAAGUAGAGAUGGUCGUUGUGAUGUGAAGUCCCUCUCUCAGCCUCCUCUCACCGCGUACCCUCCACUGGCCCAGGACUCUUAGUCCCCUGUGUUGUGUCCCAAAUGGAAACAUAUUCCUUCUACAGUGAACUACUUUUGACCAGGACCCCUAGGGAUCCCUCCUCCAUCCUGUUGUUUCAUGGUUGUUGGUUGGACCCAUGGAGAUCCACACUGUGACUCCCCUCUUUGUUAUCCAUCCUGUUGUUUCAUGGUUGUUGGUUGGACCCAUGGAGAUCCACACUGUGACUCCCCUGUUUGUGAUCCAUCUUGUUGUUCCAUGGUUCAGUCGGUUGGACCCAUGGAGAUCCACACUGUGACUCCCCUGUUUGUGAUCCAUCCUGUUGUUCCAUGGUUCAGUCGGUUGUUUCAUGUUCCCACCUCUAUUCCCUCCGUGUCAUUGUAUACUUGGUCUGUGGUGCUGUCAUCUAUUCUGUUUAUCUUGUGUGCACUCUCUGUAUCUGUCCUUGGUAUGCUACAUGUAGACCACAGGAGGCUGCUGAGGGGAGGACGGCUCAUAAUGAUGGCUGGAAUGGAGCUAAUAGAAUUGCAUCUAACACCUGGAAACUAUGGAAACGAUGUGUUUAAUGUAUUUGAUACCCUUCUACUGAUGCCGCUCCAGUCAUUACCACAAUCCAGUUCUCCCCAAUGAAGGAUCAACCAAUAUCUUCACCCCUACAAGCCUUCUUUAAACUCUCAAAGACUUGGAUAAACAAGCAGAGGUUUAUGCAGAACCCCCUGGCUAUAGCAGUCCCUCUCUUAACUAGCUAUCUGUCUCUUAACUAGCUAUCUGUCCCUCUCUUAACUAGCUAUCUGUCCCUCUCUCAACUAGCUGUCCCUCUCUUAACUAGCUGUCCUUCUCUUAACUAGCUGUCCUUCUCUUAACUAUCUGUCCCUCUCUUAACUAGCUGUCCCUCUCUUAACUAUAUGUCUUUCUCUUAACUAGCUGUCCUUCUCUUAACUAACUCCCCUAACCUCCAAACUCCCUCAGCCGGCAUAUUCUACUCAGGACCGUCCAUACCAAACCCCUUCUACUCUACACAUAGAGCCAUUUUCUUUAUUGUCUUAUCUAUUUCAAAUAUAUCAAAGUCAUGUAUUCAGAUAGAAUUUCUUAAUAGCAUGAAAUAAGAUCAUUUAAAGCCAUACUACCAAAAAACACCAUGUUUUACCUACUGUACAUAAACCCUGAUGACUGUAUAGUAAUAAUAUCAUUUCAAUUUGUUUGUCAGAUUGAAGGGAAGAGUAGAGAUUGAGUCUGUGAUGGAUGACUGUUGAUACUAUAUGAGCAGUGGAUGUAAACUGCCGUCUCAGGAUGCCAUUGUUGCACUUUCUUAAAAAGGAAGCCAAUCAUAGUGUAAGAUUCCAGUCUUUCAUACAGACCUUUCAAUACAUUUCAUAAAAGUAUUCAUAUAACAUUUAUUUGAAAAAAACAACUAGCUGAAUAUUGGAAUGAACUUGGAAAUACACUUGGAAUGUAUUUGAACACUGAAAUAACUGACUCAAAUACAUUCCCAAGCAUUUAACCAAGGUAUUUGAAAAGCCAGGUCUGUUUUUAGUGGUUUAGCAUGUAGCUUUUAUCUCAUUGCUUGUAAACGUUUCAGGAACAAUGAGCAAAAAUACAAAUAUUUUGGAAACUCACAAUUGUAUAAUUUGGACAUCAUCUUCAUCACCAACAUCAUCACCAUCUUCCUCGUAAUGCAAUAAGUAGUUUGUAGAAUAUAUGCCAUACUGUAUCAAUGUUUCUAUUCCUGGUGAAUAUUCUGACUUUGAAAAUGCCAAUGUGAAGCCACUCUGUACUAGUGCUCAUGUAGCUGUAGCUAGCAGUACAGUUACAGUAGUUGGGCUGUAGCUAGCAGUACAGUUACAGUAGUUGGGCUGUAGCUAGCAGUACAGUUACAGUAGUUGGGCUGUAGCUAGCAGUACAGUUACGGUAGUUGGGAUGUAGCUAGCAGUACAGUUACAGUUACAGUAGUUGGGCUGUAGCUAGCAGUACAGUUACAGUUACAGUAGUUGGGCUGUAGCUAGCAGUACAGUUACAGUAGUUGGGCUGUAGCUAGCAGUACAGUUACAGUAGUUGGGCUGUAGCUAGCAGUACAGUUACAGUUACAGUAGUUGGGCUGUAGCUAGCAGUACAGUUACAGUAGUUGGGCUGUAGCUAGCAGUACAGUUACAGUAGUUGGGUUGUAGCUAGCAGUACAGUUACAGUAGUUGGGCUGUAGCUAGCAGUACAGUUACAGUAGUUGGGCUGUAGCUAGCAGUACAGUUACAGUAGUUGGGCUGUAGCUAGCAGUACAGUUACAGUAGUUGGGCUGUAGCUAGCAGUACAGUUACAGUAGUUGGGCUGUGAUGAUCAACCAUUGGAAAGUUAUUCCUCUUCAUUUAGUCUCUGUUCAGGAAUACUAUGUAAUUGAUUUGAUUUGCUAUUUCCUCUUCCUGUCGAAGCUAUAGUCUCGUUUUUGUCCCACUUUCCAGUGCAGCGUUGACACUGUCAUGAUGCAAACUCAUUUGUUGGCGUUGUUGUUGUUACACUUGUUGAUUUUGUUACUCUAUAGUAGGGUUAUCUAUUAUUUCUCAAUAUAUAUUAAUACCAGUGUAUUUGAUCAGAAUUCUAUGCUUGGAAGUAAUUUAUCCCAAACAAUACACGUUCACAUACUAAAGCUCUAAUAAAGUUGCUUCAAAGAAAAUGCUGAUGUUUUAUUCUGUUACAUUAUGACAUGAAAUGAUUGAAAGGCAUAUCAGUAAACACUUUAGUCAUUGAGGGAUGGAUGGAUUGGACUGCUGCUGAUCCUCUAUUGAUGUUACAAACUAUCUGGGUGGUUCAAGAAACAUGUCUGAGAGGCUAGUGCAUAAUUUAGUACAAGGUCCCCUGAACUAAACUGGAAGACUUUGAUAGUAAUACUGUAACAUUGUAAUGUAUGUCAAUUAUAAUAAUAUCAUUGCAAUACCAUUUACAUCCACUGGGGAGAAGCAUUGGCAUAUUGCUUGAUAAACAUAAUAGCAGCCAGCAGAACUUUGCUUUGACAGCCCGGACGAGCCAACAUACAUAUAUAUAUAGUGUAUGUGGACACCCCUUCAAAUAGUGGAUUUGGCUUUUUCAGCCACACCCGCUGCUGACAGGUAAAUCAAAUUGAGCACUCCAUU